CUCGAACCGAGUAGUGAAAACCGGACUCUGGCGAGAGAUUGAAACGCAACUUGGUUUCUCGGAGAAAGAGCUGAGGAAGAAUUGGGAUUCUCUGCGAACCCAGUACACCCGGUAGGCCUACAGGAAACUUGCCCCUAGUUGUGGAGCACAAAGGACUGGCAGACAGCAGUGGAUCAUAACCAGGCUGCAGUUUUUAGAGCCCUAAGCACUUUGAAUUGCCUUGUGUUGAAAAGUGCUAUAUAAAUAAACUUGCCUUACACAAGAAGGAAGGAGAGUACUUCGAACCUCACCAUCACGGAACGUCCGGUGGCUGCAGAAUCACCCCCCGGUGGCACCAACAGUGAAACCUCGACCAGCACCACGAGGAGUCCUUCCACUUUGAUGCUGAGCCCUGCACUCCCCUGGCAGAAUCCACCAUCUGCACCACACCGGCACCGCGGCUCGGAGAGAGGCCAAGCACACUCAGCACUCGAAGGCCUCCGGCGAAGCGCAGGAUGAUGAUACUAAAUGAGAUACUGUCUACAGCUGUUCAUUGUUCAAGAUUGAAAUGUAAAUGUGCAAGCCGUUUUUCUGCCCCUCUAUUCACAUGUAGCCUUUCAUACGUGAUGGUUUCUUCAUUCUCGAACUGUUGUGGAGCAGAACUAUACAGUUGCAGGAUUAGUCUCAAGUACCUCAAUAUAAUUAUAGUAUGUCUGCACUUUGUGCUAAUUUCAUCAUUC